rnacentral:rRNA from 1 species
AUGUGGAUGGCACUGACGACCAUGCUGCUACUCCUUGCGGUAGGAGCAGCAGCGGCAGCUACCAGCACGACGACAACUCGUGGGUGUCGGCCGAGCUGCGGUGGCGUGGACAUCCCCUACCCUUUCGGCAUCGGCAUUGGUUGCUUCCACAAGGGGUUCGAGAUCGACUGCACCAUGGACGGCCCAGUGCUCGCCGGCUCGUCCCUUCGGGUAAAGCACCUGUCGAUCCAUCCAGACGUGUCGCUGGUGAUGCUCCCCAUUGGAUGGAAGUGCUACAACGCCUCCAGCACAACUGAAGCGGUGGACUCCAGCUACGGGGAGACGACGAUGAACAAGGAUGGCGUGUACCGCAUCUCCAACACACACAACAUGCUCGUCGUCAUCGGCUGCGACACCAUGGGCUACACCGCAAGCAUGAAAACCGACGGUGGCUUGGCCUCUCACGCCUACUACACCGGGUGCAUGUCCUACUGCAACAACUCGGCCAGCGUGCAGGACGGUCUCUGUGCCGGCGUCGGCUGCUGCCACGUCGACAUCCCGCCGGGGCUCACCCACAACUACUUCAAGUUCAACGCCUACGGCCACUCCAGCAUGAUGGACUACAGCCCCUGCGACUACGCCUUCCUUGUCGACAGGAACAACUACACCUUCCGCCGGUCCGACCUCAAGAUGGACACAAACCGGACUUCGCCGGUGUGGCUGGACUGGGCCAUUCGCGGCAACGGCUCCAUCUCCGGCGAUAUAUUGUCGUGCAACCAAGCUGCCAGGACCAGUGAGUACGCCUGUGUCAGUGAUCACAGCGACUGCCUCGACUCCACCAAUGGGCCUGGCUACAACUGCAGGUGCUCUGAAGGCUAUCGGGGCGACGCUUACAUUGUGGACGGAUGCACCAAUAUAGAUGAAUGCGCGAAUCCGGCCGACUACCAUUGCUACGGUGUAUGCACGGACACCCAAGGAUCAUACGUAUGCGAAUGUCCUGCUGGUUAUCGGAGCCAUGACCCAAGAAAGGAACUAUGUACUCAAAAGUUCCCACUUGCAGCACAGAUUUCCAUAAGUGCAAUAAGUGGCAUUCUCGUCUUGGCACUCUUGUCAUUCAUUUAUGUACUUCACAAAGAGAGGCGGGAGGCCAGGGACUUUUUCCGAAAGAAUGGUGGUCUUACAUUAAAGGAUGCUACAAGUAUUAAGAUUUUCAAAAUGGAGGAGCUCAAACCAAUUCUAAAGAAACACAAUUUAAUUGGUAAAGGUGCCUUUGGUGAAGUUUACAAGGGUGAUGUUGAUGGAGUUCUAGUCGCAAUAAAGAAACCAAUUGGUGAUAAUGUGUUAGAGAACAACCAAUUUCCAAAUGAAGUCAUUAUCCAGUCUCAAGUCAUCGAUAAGAACAUUGUAAGGCUUAGAGGUUGUUGCCUAGAAGUGGAUACCCCCAUGCUAGUGUACGAAUUCAUCUCCAAUGGAAGCUUGGAAGACAUUCUUCACAAGCAUAAAAGCAAGCUUCUCAACUUGGAUGUACGUCUAAGUAUUCUUCAAGAACCAGCACAUGGUCUAUCAUAUAUGCACUCACAAACCCACACCACAAUCUUGCAUGGUGAUGUUAAACCAGCAAACAUUCUCUUGGAUGAAUAUUUUACGCCGAAGAUCUCAGAUUUUGGCAUAUCAAGGUUGACUGCAAAAGGCAAGGAACAAACUGCAAACAUCAUAGGUGAUAUGACUUAUAUGGAUCUAGUUUACCUAAAGACAGGCCGAUUGACCAACAGAAGUGAUGUCUAUAGUUUUGGGGUUGUCAUCCUAGAACUCAUUAGCAGGAAGAAGGCCACUCACUCUGACAAUAAUAGCUUAGUGGGCAGCUUCCAAGAGUGUCAUCAAAGAGAGGGGACAUCGCUGAAGUUGUUUGAUCCAGAAAUUGCAACAGCAGGCAAUUUCGAAAUUCUUGACAAGCUAGCACAGAUUGCUAUGGAGUGUCUUAAUCUUGAUGUCAUUCGGAGGAGAUGA